rnacentral:lncRNA from 1 species
CAAAACCAAGAAAAUCCGAUGACUUAUGCCUGCAGCUUUAGAGAAACCAAGAAUGGCUAGAGUGUUCCACUCGCCCACCGUCUUCUUUCUUCGCCUCUCCACCGUCUUCUCGUUCUUCCAUCCCAUGGCGCCAUGGCGUUCCCGGGAGAUUCCAAUCCUCUGGGCCUCUCGUUAGAUGUGCCCUAGGGUUUCAGUUUUCCCGAGGAUGUCAUGACUGGAGGCUUUGGUAUUUCGAAAUUUAGAUCCGUCUCCAUGGCUUUAGUUCCUAUUUAAUGCGAUAUUAUUGUUUCUUUGAGCUUUUCCUUCUAUUAUCCGAUUGAGUUCGCCUUGUCGGUUAAUAAAAAUUGAAUCUUUCUUAAUUUCUUUGGGAAUAUGACAUUCUUAUGCAAAUGCUUUAAUUUUCUUGUUGAUGUUUGGUGUUUAUAAAUCAUUUCGCCAAAGAAAUUAAUUGCGAGGAUGAUAAGUUUCCUAUUUCAUCUUUUUCCUGUGAUAUUUGUGCCGCAUGUAACACUCUCCAGUUAAUUUAUUUAGGUUCUUGCCUCAUAAUAGAUGUGGGUUAAGGCGACUUCUAUGUCUGAAUGGUAGAAGGGUAUCCCCAUGUCAUUAAUAUAUAAACAAAGAAGCUGAAAGGACAAGGCAAUGCUUUCCCCCCUCUGUCUUGGUAGUCUGCAAGACUGUUUGUUUAAAAUUGCCUUCUUGAUCUUGCAAAAGCAA